UACAGAGGUCUCAAGCGUUGUUCGGAUUCAUUGGGCGUAAAGGGUGCGUAGGCGGCGCGGUAAGUCGGGUGUGAAAUCUCGGAGCUUAACUCCGAAACUGCAUUCGAUACUGCCGUGCUUGAGGACUGGAGAGGAGACUGGAAUUUACGGUGUAGCGGUGAAAUGCGUAGAUAUCGUAAGGAAGACCAGUGGCGAAGGCGGGUCUCUGGACAGACACUGACGCUGAUACGCGAAAGCAUGGGGAUCAAACAGG
rnacentral:rRNA from 1 species